UAUCCAAGUUUCUAUAAGAGGGUGAAC
rnacentral:sRNA from 1 species